GGGUAUAUCUCAGUGGUAAAGUACUUGCCUAGCAUGCAUGAUGUCCUGGGUUCAAUCCCCAGUACCUCCA
rnacentral:tRNA from 1 species